AUUGAACGCUGGCGGCAUGCUUUACACAUGCAAGUCGAACGGUAACAGGCCGCAAGGUGCUGACGAGUGGCGAACGGGUGAGUAAUGCAUCGGAACGUGCCCAGUCGUGGGGGAUAACGCAGCGAAAGCUGCGCUAAUACCGCAUACGAUCUAUGGAUGAAAGCGGGGGACCGUAAGGCCUCGCGCGAUUGGAGCGGCCGAUGUCAGAUUAGGUAGUUGGUGGGGUAAAGGCUCACCAAGCCAACGAUCUGUAGCUGGUCUGAGAGGACGACCAGCCACACUGGGACUGAGACACGGCCCAGACUCCUACGGGAGGCAGCAGUGGGGAAUUUUGGACAAUGGGCGCAAGCCUGAUCCAGCAAUGCCGCGUGCAGGAAGAAGGCCUUCGGGUUGUAAACUGCUUUUGUACGGAACGAAACGGCUCUCUCUAAUACAGGGGGCUAAUGACGGUACCGUAAGAAUAAGCACCGGCUAACUACGUGCCAGCCGCCGCGGUAACAC
rnacentral:rRNA from 1 species